rnacentral:lncRNA from 1 species
CUGGCACAGCUCCACUGCCAGGGCACCCAGAUCCAGCACCCAGACUGGCACAGCUCCACUGCCAGGGCACCCAGACACCCAGGGCACCUUUAAACCCAAGAAGGGCACUGGGUGGGAUCUGAGGUCCCUUUGAGCCCAAAGGGACACUGGGUGGGAUUUGAGGUCCCUGGGUGGGAUUUAGGGUCCCUUUGAUCCCCAAAAGGGCACUGUGGGGGAUUUAGGGUCCCUUUCAGCACCAAAAGGACCCUGGGUGGGAUUUGAGGUCCCUGGGUGGGAUUUGAGGACCCUUUGAUCCCCAAAAGGCACUGGGUGGGAUUUAGGGUCUCUUUGAUCCCCAAAAGGGCCCUGGGUGGGAUUUGGGGUCCCUGGGUGGGAUCUGGGGUCCCUCUCAGCCCACACCAUCCCAGGACUCCACGGGAUCAAGGAGUCAAACCCCAACACACACAGUGACACAGUGACA